CACGUAGGGUGCGAGCGUUGUCCGGAAUUAUUGGGCGUAAAGAGCUCGUAGGCGGUGUGUCGCGUCGGCCGUGAAAACCUGCAGCUUAACUGUGGGCGUGCGGUCGAUACGGGCAUCACUUGAGUUCGGCAGGGGAGACUGGAAUUCCUGGUGUAGCGGUGAAAUGCGCAGAUAUCAGGAGGAACACCGGUGGCGAAGGCGCCUAUCUGGCCCGAUACUGACGCUGAGGCGCGAAAGCUAGGGGAGCAAACGGG
rnacentral:rRNA from 1 species